GUCAACGCCUGCCUCCUCUCGAGCGUCAUCAGCGCAGCCGCCGCCCGCGGAGCCAGCACGAACGAGCCCAGCACCGGCCGGAUGGAGCGUCCGCAACCCGACAGGCAAGCGCGGGGCGCGGGACGGGCGCUUUUCCCUCCCAACCCUGCUCGCGUCCCAGCCCCACCCCGGGACACUGCCACACAGCGACAGAGCCCAGGAGCCAGAAACUUGGGCUCUGGAGUCAGGAGCAUGCCCCAGGAUUUGUCAGAGGCCCUGAAGGAGGCCACCAAGGAGGUGCACACCCAGGCAGAGAAUGCUGAGUUCAUGAGGAACUUUCAGAAGGGCCAGGUGACCCGAGAGGGCUUCAAGCUGGUGAUGGCUUCCCUGUACCACAUCUAUGUGGCCCUGGAGGAGGAGAUUGAGCGCAACAAGGAGAGCCCAGUCUUCGCCCCUGUCUACUUCCCAGAAGAGCUGCACCGCAAGGCUGCCCUGGAGCAGGACCUGGCCUUCUGGUACGGGCCCCGCUGGCAGGAGGUCAUCCCCUACACACCAGCCAUGCAGCGCUACGUGAAGCGGCUCCACGAGGUGGGGCG
rnacentral:sRNA from 1 species